GGUGGCUCAAUGGUACAGUGCUUGCCUUGCAUGCAUGAGGCCCUGGGUUCAAUUCCUCAGCACCA
rfam:Dipodomys ordii contig_56971, whole genome shotgun sequence.